CAGCUACUCUAGUGGAGUCCCAGAAUAAAAGUACAGAGCUAGAAAUGAGCAUUAUAGGUCAUUUCCAGCCAUUUAAUGUUAGCUGUGAAACUGUGAUCAUAUGUGAUGUGAAAAUGAAUAAUCUUCAAUUAAGUUGUCAGGAGGUUACAGUACAGUUUGUAUACAUAACGCAUAAGUGCAGCUUAUUAUGAUGUUAUUUUUUAUUAUGCUUUGACUCUACCUGUUGAACUAUUUUGGUGUCAUGACGGUGUGAAAAUAGACCUCUGUAAAUGGAGUAGACACUCCCAUCUCUGUAAUUUCAAAGACUGAUUAGAGAUCUGUUUUCUCAUGUGAAUUGGUCAUUAACAUUGCAGAUGUCCUGUGUUAGAAAUGACUUUGCAGACCUUCAUCUGCAGAUGCAAUCUGUUCAAAGAGGGCUGGAGAUAAUUUUUGAAGAGUUGCGUCACAGUUGCAUACUGAUGUUAUUUGCUGCUAUUUUGCUGCUUUGUUUCCUGACUGAGGUAGGUGGUGUGCACCAUCAUGGCUGAACCCAUUAAUCUUCUUGAGAGUGGUAAAUGAAUGCAGCCUUACUGGUCUUUACUGUUUGGUGUUCAAAUAAUUAGAAGAAGUCUACGCCUAAAGUUCAUGAGGCUUAUUAGAAUCAUGAUAUCGAGUAUGUAGGAACCGAUGCACUUCAGCUUUCAUGAACAUUGACACUUGGCAUUUUGUCACAGCGACAAGUUCCAAUCUGUAGAGAAUACAGGUGUUGGAGGAGAGCCGCUCCGGUGGCCGCCUCGCCCCGCCUCAUCCCAGUCAGCUGCUGCAAGAAGCCCAGUGAACUAAAUGGGCUUCAGGCUUCAGUCACUCAGUUGAUCUGUUGUUGAGAGUGAAAACCAGCAGAGACUUAUUCUGCAGUCAGGGACAUGGACAACUGUGAAAACUCCUGCCAUCACAGAAGACGUAUAGGUCUACUUUCAUCCAAAAGUCACUGGCAAAAUCAACAAUUUUCAACGGAGGUGUGUUGAAUCAGGUUGUAAAAUCAUUGUUUCCAUUUAGAUACGAUGCACAUGAGUAAUACUUUGUUCCUCCUACUUUUAAACUCUAAUAUUCCGGUUGAGUGUCUUUCAACAUAAAGUCCCUGUUGUGUGAUGAAACAAAUCAAACCAGAUAGAAGAAAUACUAUCUCAAAGCCACAGAUGGAUGUUAAAAAAGGUUAUUUUUUACAAAAAGGGAGCAAAAUAUCACACUGAACGACCAAAAUAAACAAUUAUGCAUGUUGACUCGCUAGUGUGAUCAUUUGUGUCAUUGAAUUUAUUUUUGUGCUUUUUAUCAGUUUGUAUCAGUUUUACUUUUUAGAAAUUCAGUUUUUUACUGUAUUGUAUAAAGCGUGAGCUGACUGAGCCUGCAUGCUCUUUCUCCAGCUCCACUGGAGCAGUUAGGGAUGUUAAUACAAAGUGCUCAAGGGCACUUUGACAGUAGUCACCGAGGAAGUGGAGAGCCUAUCUCACUCUGUUUUUUUUUUACCAGGCAAUGUUGGGAUUCAAAUUUGUUUCCUUCUCUAGCCUGUAGCUUCCUGCCUCCUUAUUUAUUGUAGAAUUUGCAUUUGGGACAUUCGGGGAAUAUGACAAACAUUUUAAAGGAUUGAAUAGAAGGUGAGAAACAAAAAUACACUAUUAGGACAGUCUAGGCUAAAUAAUAAAACCAUUUAUUAUUAUGCUUCAAGCCAUAUUGCACAACUUUUAAGACCAUCUUAUUUAAGGCUGUAGAAAAAACAAUAUAGAAGCUCUGAUUUUCUAAUAUUUUAUUCUUAAAUUUGGCAAGAGGUGCAUUUUUAAGGGUCCAGAUCAGUAUUUAAACUUUUGAUCGAAGGGUAAAAAGACAAAAUUAGGUUGAAUAUUGAAUUUUAUUGUCAUAUUUUACACCUUUUUGUUGGCAGAUCAUGAUUGUCAAUCUUCCCAUCCAGUCAGUCAGGUAUACAGCACUUGAGUUGACAUUAACAGUAAGCUGUGCCACUCAAGCUGUCAUCUCAGUGAGCAGAAUUAGUUGGUGGAGUCACCAGUCUGUGUCAACAAUUGAGAUUGCUCUGCUUUUUAUUCUCCAAUUUAAUACACAUUUUUUAAUGGUGAUGUAUCAAAGUCAUGGCUUGCUUUUCACCUUUGCCACUGCACGUAUAUUGUGUUUAAGCUUCUAUAAAAUGAACACUACUCAUUAUAAAAAGCAAGAUGUUACUUUCCAUGUGCAAUCUUGUGAAUUUCACUCCCCAGUCAGUUUUUAUUCCUUAAGCUCAAGCUGUCAAGCCAGACUUCACAACAAAAUGUUAAAACAGAUUCACUGAGGCAAGGUCAUCAUUUUAACACACAUGCUUAAGCAGUUUAUCUUGCACAGGGAAAAAUAAACACUGCUGUACCUUAUCACAAAUCUGCUCGGGUAUUUGUCUUAAAGCAAGUCCUGUUCACAGCCCAGACACCACUGCUCCCAUAUAUCCACCAACUCAAUAUCCCUGCCUCUUAUCAUGGUGGGUGUUAGAUUAUGGUGCAAGAGAUCAAGGGAUGUAGGAAGUGACCGCAAAGCAAAAAGUGAGGAACAAAUCAGAGAGUCUGUAAAAAGACAAGUGGAAACAGUCCUCAGCCUCAACUGGUUCAGACAGUUGAAUAAUGAGUGUGAAUCUUUAAAAUCUUCAAUCAAAAAAUAUAAUUCCUCUGCUUUAAAAAAUAGCCUUUAUAGUUUUAUUUGCUUGGAAACAUCUGUCUAAGACACUGACACUUGUAGGGUAAUCCCUCACGAGAAAGAACAGUUUUUAGAGAGUGGGUGGACAUGCUCCCUGUUGCUAGAAAUAUGCUUUUUUUGUUUUUAAUGGCCUUACAUUGUAAUGUCAUAAGUACUUUGACCAUCUUGUCAUGCAACAUGCUGACAUGAUGAUACAUGAGAAGCUGCAUAUGAACCCCCUCUAGAUCAGAGCCAAAUGAAGUGAUACAUUUUCAUUUAAUUGCAUUCUCAUUUGCGAUGAAAAGACUUUCAUAUCUAUUGGGAUUCACACAUGCUUUUGAUCGCUUAAGCUUUUCAUAAGAAAUCCUUCUGCUGUACAACUUUUAGGCUGUAACCAUUAAAGAAAAAUAUAUUAUCUCUAACAUUACUUUUACUACUUAGAAAGAUAAUUUGUCUGAAUGUUUUAGAUAUUUGAGGAAGUACUACAAAGACACAUUAAUAUAGAUUAUUUCACUAAUAGGUUUUCUCAGUUCAAUUUGAUAUUAGAUUCUUCAUCAUAUUUUAUUCAUCAUAUUGAUGAUCGCAUAUAUUCUAUGUGGAUGAUGUUACCAUGUCUGCUAGAGGAAAGGCUUAAAUAAGUUUUAUGUGAUGUUUUAGAUCAAAUCUACAAAAGGAAUUAUUUGGCAGUUAAGUCAGAAAAUGCUGAGGAUGUAGCUUGUUGAGGGAGAUGUUAUCUAAAAAUUUUGGGAGACAUUAGGAGAGUUUGCAGCCAAGCAGUCAUCUUGCCCUAGUAGAAGCUUUAAAAAAUGUCAGCCAUUUCCAGUAUUACAUCAUGACUGUAAACAAUAGAGGACAAAACAAUUACGAUGAUAUCCCUUGGUCUCUGUGUGUUUGUUUUGAAGCAAUGAGACUGUGUUUAUAGGUGCCCAGCAGGGCUUGAAAUUAGCACCUGCCCACCCUCCAAAUAUAGUUAAAAAUUAAUCGAGGCAAGUAGUGUCAUCAGGUUACAAGCCAAUUUGGCAGGUGAUGAAUUUAAUGGUGAUACUCCUGCACAGACGCAGACAGAAUGACAAGCAUAAACUGCACAAAACAGAUGUGGUAAAAUAAGAAUUGUAGAAUACGUUGAAGAAGCAGUGUCCUUUCAAUUAUCAUCCACAACUGCUACUAGUACAUAUGAGACCCAGUGCGAAUAAGUUUAUGGCACAGUACAGGGCUCUAGCAAUAAAAGUACAUGACAUUUUGGGCACAUCUUUGCGCAUCAGACUGGCAAGUCAUUACACACAGAUUAUAAAUUUAUACACUGGAAAUCACUAGAGUUAUAGGAAGCAUUCAGGAUACAUCCUAAGCCAAAAGAUGUCAAGACUCAAGACGAAAACAUACUUUAUAUUUUACUAUGUUCUGUUAUGUAAAUGCAGAAUGCAGUAAUGCAAAUGACUCAAAAUUACUCUAAUUUACUUAAGAGUAUCUGCAGUAUUGGUAUUGUAAUGAAUACCUCUCAACUUUUAACGUUAAAAAAGUUGCUACAAUAGAUGUACUGUAAUAGGAAAAGGCAGAAGUUAUAGUGUAUAUAUAUGUAGAUAAUGCAACCUGAGUAAAUUGUGUAAUUCCAUCUUAGUAUAAGACACAUAAUUAUUUUCUUGAUUCACACAUAGUGGUCCAUAGGACUGUGCAUCAGCCGGAUGGCUCUGCACAGCAUGCUUACAUCAUGGUAGUGCAUUAAUAUGGAAAAGUGAUAAGACCACUCCAUCAAAGCUAUAUACCGUUAUCUGAAAUUAAUCAACACCCCUCGAGACAUUCAGAAUUGAGUAUUCAUUGUGGCAGCAGUAUGAAAGUGUAAAAAAAAUGUAUUAGGUCUAAAAUCGGUGCGACCCCAUAAGGAUAAUACCAGUGUGACUGAGUUUUUUGCUCGUCUCAGAGGAUAUAAAUGGCUUUCCAUCCACUGAAGACAUUUUUAGUUCUAUUCAGUGCUGCGCCAGAGGCGUUAAUCUGAGAUGUAUUUACCUAAUAUCUCCUGGUUCCUUCAUGCUGUAUUUGAAACAUUUAGGAAAGUUAUAUUUUUCACAAGUUGGUUACAGUCUGCAAAUAUGAACAUGAUGUCAGUUUUGGUAUUUUAAUGUAUGCAGGUGCGCUGUGCUCAACUUGAAGAUGAAAAUGCAUUUAAUAGUUUCAUGUGCAAGAACAAAAAGGAUUGAAUUAAUGACAGUGUAACUCCUGGCAUUUGCUUGCUGCAGUCAAAUUUCACAAGAUACAGAAGCUGGAAACAUUGCAAGAGCUCCCGAUAUUCACCACAUUCUGAGCUGCAGUCCAUCUACACCUUUUUAAAGACAGUUGCCAGGAGGCAAAAUAUGAAACUAUUCCGUUCACUGAGCUGACAAAGGUGACAAAUCUGACAGAGUCAAAGCUCCUUAGUGACUGACACAAUGACCUGAACAAAGAAUUAAAAUGAGUUUUCUGUGGUUCUGUUUUGGAGACAGGUGACAUUAAUGAGAAGGAUCUCGUAAAUAACUGCACAUCAUAUUAGCAGAAGUCCCAGCUCUCAGUGUCAUUGUUGUUAAUUAGUGCUGCCAGUAUAUUGCUUGGUUAUUUCAGUCGUUGUUAUUGAAGUCAUGAAUGCACUCUGGUGUAUCUUGUUAAAAUGCAGCACAGCGAAUGAUCUGUGACUCUUCUUAAUGGUUUUAGAUAUUAGAUAUUAUUGUAAGUCAGAGUAAGAACUUGUAUUGUGACACCACUAUUCCCUGUGCUAAUUACUCCCAGUAAUAACAGUUGAGGUUUAAAGUGUUAGAAAUGUGAUUUUGAAGUGUGUUGCACACAAGACAGUCCAUGAAAGUUCCCGUGAGGUUUAUGCAUUCUGUUCAUGUUUGUCUUGGUUUCCUCUUAGACCUGCAAGUCAGAGUUGGUGACUAAUCCAUCUUCUUGCUCGCAGAUCUGAAGGAUUGACUACAAAGUCCUGUUACUCACAUACAAAUCCAUCAAUGGACAUGCGCCUCCCUACCUACAGAAACUGAUCAUACCACAAACCUCCACGCGCACCCUCAGAUCUGCCAGCAACUUGCUCCUCCGGGACCCCAGUACUA